UACGUAGGGGGCUAGCGUUGUCCGGAAUCAUUGGGCGUAAAGCGCGUGUAGGCGGCCCGGUAAGUCCGCUGUGAAAGUCGGGGGCUCAACCCUCGAAUGCCGGUGGAUACUGUUGGGCUAGAGUACGGAAGAGGCGAGUGGAAUUCCUGGUGUAGCGGUGAAAUGCGCAGAUAUCAGGAGGAACACCAAUAGCGAAGGCAGCUCGCUGGGACGUUACUGACACUGAGGCGCGAAAGCGUGGGGAGCGAACAGG
rnacentral:rRNA from 1 species